rnacentral:rRNA from 1 species
UCAAGUUAUUAAGAGCACAUGGGGGAUGUCUUGGUGUCAGAAGGCGAUGAAGGGCGUGGAAGACUGCGAAAAGCCAAGGGAAGUUGUCAAACAAACGUCGAUCCUUGGAUUCCUGAAUGACUUAUGCUGAAUACAUAGGCAUAAGUGGCUAACCCGGUGAACUGAAACAUCUAAGUAACCGGAGGAGAAGAAAGAAAAAUCGAUUCCCUUAGUAGCGGCGAGCGAAACGGGAAUAGCCCAAACCUUGGAGGUUUCCUCUGAGGGGUAGUAGGGCUCUUCACAUGAGAAAUCAACUUACGAGUAGAAUGGUCUGGAAAGGCCAACCACAGAGGGUGACAGUCCCGUAACCGAAGUAAUGUUGAGAGUAUCGAAGAGUUCCUGAGUAGGUCGGGUCACGUGGAACCCCGACUGAAUCUGCGGGGACCAUCCCGUAAGGCUAAAUACUCUCUGACAACCGAUAGUGAACUCAGUAGGGUGACUGAAAGAUGAGAAGAACCCCUGUUAGGGGAGGAUAGUGCACCUGAAACCAUGUGCUUACAAGCGGUCGGAGCGCUAUGACAUUUGCUUGCAAAUGUAAUGCGUGACGGCGUGCCUUUUGCAUAAUGAUCCGGCGAGUUACCGUCUGCGGCUGGCGAAGGCCUUACGGGCAACAGCCCCAGGGAAACCGAGUCUUAAUAGGGCGAAUUAUAGUCGUAGGUGGUAGACGCGAAACUGCGUGAUCUACCCAUGGACAGGUUGAAGCGCGGGUUAAACCGCGUGGAGGACCGAACCCACUUAGGUUGAAAACUGAGGGGAUGAUCUGUGGGGAGGAGUGAAAGUCUAAUCAAACGCAGAGAUAGCUCGUUCUCUCCGAAAUAUCUUUAGGGAUAGCCUUGAGCCACUACGCAUCGGGGGUAGAGAGACUGAAUCGGAUGGGGGCCCUUUCCGGGGUACCCCACUGAACCAAACUCCGAAUACCGAUGCGAUUAUCUCAGGAGUCAGUCCGUGGGGGAUAAGCCUCGCGGUCGAGAGGGAAACAACCCAGACCAUCUGCUAAGGUCCCUAAGAAAUGCUCAGUCACUAAGGAAGUUGAGUUACUGUGACAGCCAGGAUGUUGGCUUAGAAGCAGCCACCAUUUAAAAAGUGCGUAACAGCUUACUGGUCGAUGUAACUCUGCGCCGAUAAUGAACGGGAGUAAGCAUUUCACCGAAGCAGUGGAUUGUAGACGUCUGCGGACGUCUACAGUGGUAGGAGAGCGCUGUACACCAGAUACAAGCCGUACCGAAAGGAGCGGUGUCGGGGUGUACAGGUGAUUAUGCCGGAAUGAGUAACGAUAAAGCAGGUGAGAAUCCUGCUCGCCGAAAGCCUAAGGUUUCCUGGGGAAGGCAAUUCCGCCCAGGGUUAGCCGGUUCCUAAGUCAAGGCCGAAAGGCGUAGACGAUGGAUAGCAGGUCAACAUUCCUGCGCCACAAGUGUGGACCGAUGGAGGGACGGCAUCCAGAUGGUGUAAAGCACGAUUAGAUUGUGCAUCGAAAGCUUUGAGGUGAGAGAUAGGAAAAUCCGUCUCUCGUAAGCCAAGAAGCCGAAGGGGGGAUUAUUCCCGAAUUCAUCUGAAGGAUGUCCAAGAAAAGCUUCUAAGGGUUGAUACACUUGUGACCGUACUAAAACUGACACAGGUAGGCGGGUCGAGUAGACCAAGGCGCUCGGGAGAACACUGGUUAAGGAACUCUGCAAAAUGGCCCCGUAAGUUCGCGAUAAGGGGUGCCUCUGGGGGUUCACGCUUCUGGAGGCCACAGAAAAUCGGCUUCUGCGACUGUUUAUCAAAAACACAGGACUCUGCUAACUCGCAAGAGGAUGUAUAGAGUCUGACGCCUGCCCGGUGCCGGUAGGUUAAGGAAGGCGGUUAGCACUUCGGUGUGAAGCUGACGACCGAAGCCCCGGUAAACGGCGGCCGUAACUAUGACGGUCCUAAGGUAGCGAAGUUCCUUGUCGGGUAAGUUCCGACCUGCAUGAAAGGCGUAACGACAGGAGCACUGUCUCAACCACCGACCCGGUGAAAUUGUAGUUGUGGUGAAGAUGCCACAUACCCGCGGUUAGACGGAAAGACCCCGUGAACCUUUACUGUAGGCUGAUAUUGGGCUGUGAUAUGUUCUGUGUAGGAUAGGUGGGAGACUUUGAAGCGUAGGCGCCAGCUUACGUGGAGUCAUCCUUGAAAUACCACCCUGGAUAUGCUUUAUUUCUAACUUUGAUCCCGUGAAUCCGGGCAAAGGACAGUGUCAGUUGGGCAGUUUGACUGGGGCGGUCUCCUCCUAAAAUGUAACGGAGGAGUACAAAGGUACCCUCAGCCUGGUUGGCAAUCAGGCGUAGAGCGUAAAGGUAAAAGGGUGCUUGACUGCGAGACCCAUAAGUCGAGCAGGUACGAAAGUAGGUCUUAGUGAUCCGGUGGUUCCGUAUGGAAGGGCCAUCGCUCAUCAGAUAAAAGGUACUCCGGGGAUAACAGGCUUAUCGCCACCGAGCGUCCAAAGCGGCGUGGCGGUUUGGCACCUCGAUGUCGGCUCAUCACAUCCUGGGGGUGAAGAAGCUCCCAAGGGUUUGGCUGUUCGCCAAUGAAAGUGGUACGUGAGCUGGGUUCAGACCGUCGUGAGACAGGUCGGUCCCUAUCUGCCGUGGGCGUACGAAACUUGAGGAGAUUCUUCUUUAGUACGAGAGGAUUUGGAAGGACGUAGCUCUGGUGUACCAGUUGUCGCGCUAGCGGCACGGCUGGAUAGCUAACUACGGAAAGGAUAAACGCUGAAAGCAUCUAAGCGUGAAGCCCGCUCCGAGAUAAGGUUUCGUAAGUGUUUACACGAGAGUCCCCUGGAAGACGACCAGGUUAAUAGGCCAGAUGUGUAAGCCCAGUAAUGGGUUCAGCUAACUGGUACUAAAGGACGAAAACUUGACCAC